rnacentral:rRNA from 1 species
GAUGAACGCUAGCGGCAGGCCUAAUACAUGCAAGUCGAACGGUAACAUGGCAGCAAUGCUGAUGACGAGUGGCGCACGGGUGCGUAACGCGUAUGCAAUCUACCCUUUACUGGGGAAUAGCCCGGAGAAAUUCGGAUUAACACCGCAUAAUAUAAUGGAAAGGCAUCUUUUUAUAUUAAAUCUACGGAGGUAAAGGAUGAGCAUGCGUCUGAUUUAGAGUUGGNGAGGUAACGGCUCACCAAGACGAUGAUC